rnacentral:rRNA from 1 species
GACGAACUGUCCUAACGUUGUUCGGAAUCACUGGGCUUAAAGGGUGCGUAGGCGGUCCGCUAAGUUGGAUGUGAAAACUCUGGGCUUAACCCAGAGCCUGCAUUCAAAACUGACGGGCUAGAGUUCUGGAGGGGGUAGCGGAAUUCCUGGUGUAGCGGUGAAAUGCGUAGAUAUCAGGAGGAACACCGGUGGCGAAGGCGGCUACCUGGACAGAAACUGACGCUGAGGCACGAAAGCUAGGGGAGCAAACAGG